UUGGAGGAAAUAGAGCAGAGAAAUAGCCCUGGGUGCCUGUGGUGUGUGCAGGAGAACCCAUCAUGGAAGCCUCACUCUGUGAGGGGUCAUGGUGCCCAGGGCCUGCCCUCCUAAGACAGCACAGAUGCACAGAUAGGGAGGUGGCCUGCAGGUCAGCCUGUGUGAGGGAUAUGACCAUCCUACUGUCUUCCUCUCAGCUAAGAAGAGAAGGUGACAAGUGCCACCUCAGAAGUGUUGAUGUUUGAAAUUUCCUCCAGCCACAGCAUGCAGUUGAAGAGGUUCAAGGGCUUCUGGUGUCUGACGAUACCUGGAGAAAUACAAGAGCAUCAGGGACAGUUUAGAUGUCAACUUUUCCUGGCCCAGUGACUGAAAUAAGAGCAGAAUUGUGACAAGAAGCUGGUGGGAAGAUAAAUUUUGUUUCAGCUGAGGAUCAAGUAUCCCUGCUCAAGGGAAGAGGACAAGGAGCAUGACCCCUGAGGCCACGUGUUCAGCCUGGAUUGUGUGGGUGUGGACAGAUCAGGAGGAGCUCUGUGCAGAAGAAGGCAGAACCUGACCACACUGCAGAGGAACAGAGAGCUGAUGGUCCCCUCAGCCUUGAGCCAUGUGAGACAACUCCUUCUUGAGUUUAGUUUUCUGAUCCUUCUGAUGAGAUAUGGCAGUGUGAUGUCUCUCCUAGUUUUUUGUGGGUGAGUAACAAAUUCCCCCUUAUUGAGCAGUGUGUUCCUUCCCAGGCCUGUUCCUCAGGAGUCCAGGCUGGGUCCUCAGCUCAGCCUGAGAAUAAUACUGAAAUGGAGCAGACAGUGGGCAGCUCUCCUUGCUGAAGUUCAGGGUCUUCUUCCAGGUCCAGUGGCUGAGGCAGAGUCAUCUUUCCACAGUUGUAGGGUGAGGUCCCAAUUUCCCUGUGGCCAUCAACACAGAGCUACUGGAAGCUGCCCUUAUUGUUUGAAAUGUGGCUCCUGCUGCCUCCAAGAGCUGCAUUAGAGCAUCUCCUCACAUCCAAGCUUCAUGGCCUGAGAUCCUCCUUCUUCUGCUUCCAUGUGCAGAUGGACAGGCUUCAAUGUUGAAGACAGAUCUAGUGUGUACUCCCUCUCUCUCUCUUGUAGAUUCAACUUAUUUGAUUAUGUCACAAAAUAUUUCAUAAGAAAUUUUAUUGAAAUUCCUGUUUGAGUACCUGGGGAGUGAGAUGAUACAAGGCCUGGGGAUUGGGGACAACAACUUGGAAUCCUGUCCACAUACUACCAUUUUUUUCACCUACCAUAAUGACUGGAUCCCUGAUAUUCAGAAUUGCAUACUGUUUGGAGGAAUCAGUUUUAAUAAGAUCAGGUGAUUCCAGGUAAGCAGAAGAUAAAGAGGUAACCUGCAGUUGGCACAGGAAUGACAAGGGCUUUCACCGUGUUCCUGUGUGCCAGUUGCACCAGGCAAUAAGUCCUCAGGAACACAUGGCCUGCUUCUCUCCUCGACCCACAGGUUCUCCCUGCCCUUAGCAGACCCCUCAGGCUCCCUGCCCGAGUUCCAUGGCCUCCCAGCCUCAGGCCCUGUCUGCCUCCACACACUGACUCUGUGUCUUCCUUCCACAGGACCAGCCUGUCCCUCUCCCAGCCCUAAGCAAGGCUUCUGUGCAGAUUGGGAAUGUGGCAAAGGUCCAUGCAUGGCCUCCUAGGCUAGACUCCCAGGCAUCAGUCUUGGUCAGUUCACCUAUGGAUUCCCACCUUAGACCUGCUGACUCAUAGUCCUUUCCUGAUAUUUCAGAGCCCAGGGAUCCAUCCUGGUGCCCCAUGCUGAUGUCGUCAUGGAAACCAGACACCUGGCCUUGUAGUAGGCAGGCUGGUGGCUUCAUCUGGUACCCAGGUCUCUUUCCAGCUGGAGGAGGUUUGGGAUGCUCCAUGCAGCACCCACCCAGGGAGGAUUAGAAUCUUGGCUCUGUCUUAAUGAUUGUGUGUGACAUCAGGGAGACACCCUUGGUCCCCGCACUUGGCCUGUGGGUUUGGAGCCAUGAGGGAGCUCUGUAACCUUGCUGCCUAGAUCUCAGCCCAUGGAGAGAGCCACUGCCUUGGGAUCCAGAGCAGCAGCAGCCCCAGGAGCUGAGCAGGGAGCCUCAUUUUGAGAAGCUGAGCUGAGGAGUCCUGGUGAGUCAAGGGCAGGUUAGAGCUGAGCUUUUAUGUCAGCCUUGCAGGAAGGUCCUCCCCAGGGAGCAGCAUGCAAAUGCCCUGGUGGGUGCUGGGUGGGGAGAGUGAGGGAGGGUGGGGUCUGCCUUGUGAGACCAGGGACAUCAAGUAUCUUUAUAUUUGUAGGAAAUAGUGAAACAGCCCAUGGUGCCUGUGGUGUGUGCAGGAGGUCCCAUCAGAACCCAGACUCUGUGGGAGGUCAUGGUUUCAGGGUCUGUUACCUGAGAUAGGAGAGAUAUAAGGACAUUCAGGCUGCCUGCUUCUCAGCAUCUGGGAGGAAGUCACAUCCUGCUGACUUCAUCCAAGAUAAGGAGACAAGGUGACAAGUCCCACCUCAGAAGAAUAGAUUUUCUGAAUUUUCUACCAGCCACAGCAUGCAGUUGAGCUACAUCAAGAGCUUCUGUGUCUGCUGUGACCUGGAGAAAUACAAGAAUGUCAGGGGCAGUGUUAGAGGAUGUCUCUUCGUAGCCUAAUGAAUGAAAUAGGAUCACAAGGGUCAAAAGAAGCUGGUGGGGAAAAGAAACCUGUGACUCAGCUGGAGAUCCAGUAGCCCUGCCCACAGCAAGAGGAGAAGGGACAUGUCCACCUGAAGCUGUGAGUGUGAAAUUCACAUGAGGUAGAUCUAUAAAUGGGUGGUCAUCCUGUCCUAGUCAUCUCCAUGUGUGUGACUCUCAGAGUCAGCCAAACCUUUUCCUAGAGAAGAACCCCUGGAGGUCACUUGACAGAGUGGACAAGGGAGGAUGUCUUGUUAGUUUCUUCUCAGUGAAGAUAGGGAAUUCCUCGCCCCUCUGCUGUUCCAUGUCAGGGACAUUGGCCUGCAGUUGUAACAAGUCCUGUGUUUAAAAGUAGAUUCCCUGGGUUGGAACAGGACUGUGUCCACUCUCUCCAUUUCUCAGGGUGAUUCCCUCUGCACUCGCAGUCUCCUGGGUCUUGCCUCAAGGGGCUCACUGGGGAGAGGGCUCUGGGUCACUGCACAGGGACAUUAGUUUCAGACUUUCCCCUCCCAAGCUGGAGACAGUGAGCCUGUUUUGUUUUUGGCCCACAAGGCUGAGCUGCUUUUCCAGACAACCCAGGUCCUCUGACACACCCUUUCCAUGGUGUGGAACUCAGUGCGGGGCCCUGAGCAGCUCAAGACCCUGGCAUGGUUCCUCUUAGUCCCUGUGAACCUCUGUGGCUGUCCUUCUGACCUCAGUGAGCAGCUUCCCUCUGAACACUGAGGAGCAGCUGUGUUUGUAGUUCUCCAGAUCACAUUCUUCAGGUGCCUUUUCUAAUGAGUGGCUUAAAGGAAAUGAAAGUGACUUUCUCAGGUCUCCUUGGGCAGCAAUAGGCAAAGCUCAGAAUUUAAGAAGGUCUAGAGGGUGGGACACCUUUCUGGAAAGUGGGUUG